rnacentral:misc_RNA from 1 species
UCUGUGUUGUCAGAUUAUCGUUUCUUUUCAAACGUUUGUGGAGUUUUAAGAAUCAUAUAUUUAUUUGUGUUUAUAUUUUCUAAGUAUGGUUUUAGUACAGCUAAAUCACAGCUAGCCAUAAACUCAUUUUUACUGCCUAACUAUUGUCUAAAUGCAUUUUAAACAUAUUCUUUUAGAUUUCAUGCACAUUAGUUAUUUAAUAAAUAAUUACUGUUUAGAAUUUACUGAAACAAGGGAUUUUUAUGAAAUAGACACAAUACUAUUAAACGUAAUUAUAUACCUUUAACUGAUUUAUAUCAUUUUUAUAUAACUUAAAAUUCGCUCACAGAAGGCAGGACAAAACCAGAACAUAGCAGAAUAAUGUUGGCGUUUGUUUUUGUUGUAUUUUUGCUGGCCGCUAGGACAACAGUUGUUUAUAGCUUGAAUUUCACUUUGUCAAUGCCACGAGUUGUAUUAGGAGUUACAGGGAAACUCUCCAUGUCAUGUAACGUUACAGAAAAAGAUGUUUCUAGCGUAUAUCUUAUACAAAUACGGCGAGAAAUAAUUUCAGUGUGGCACACGAUAGCAAAAAUCGACCCAAUUAAAAGUGAAUAUCCGACUUUAUGUAAAGGUAUUGUUGGUGACAAGGAUUUUAUUGUCGGCGGAAUGUUAGAUAAAGAAAUCCCACCCAACACUUAUCUAACUUUAGAUAUAAACAUUUUGACAAUGACAUUGGAUGAUGCUGGAGUAUAUAGAUGUGAGAUGACCUAUAAAAGUAACAUUACAGGGAAAGGUGUCAACGUAGAAAGAAAAGCUACGCUUUUAAUUGAAGAAGCCGAAAAUAAAACUGAAGGACUAGCAGAUGGAAGCUUAUGCCACGGAAGACGUGAACCACAUAUUUCAAGAUUCAGAAUGUGAUAGCAAAACCAGUUAUGUGAUUGUUGGCGUAAUUUUGGGAGUGGCAAUUAUUUUAAUCACAAUUUAUGCAAGUUAUAUAACAGUGGUAAUGAGAAUAAGAGAUAGAACUCGUC